rnacentral:rRNA from 1 species
UACGUAGGGUGCAAGCGUUAAUCGGAAUUACUGGGCGUAAAGCGUGCGCAGGCGGCUAUGCAAGACAGAUGUGAAAUCCCCGGGCUCAACCUGGGAACUGCAUCUGUGACUGCAUCGCUGGAGUGCGGCAGAGGGGGAUGGAAUUCCGCGUGUAGCAGUGAAAUGCGUAGAUAUGCGGAGGACCACCGAUGGCGAAGGCAAUCCCCUGGGCCUGCCCUGACGCUCAUGCACGAAAGCGUGGGGAGCAAACAGG